GGCGGCGUGCCUAACACAUGCAAGUCGAACGAGAAAGUGGUAGCAAUACCAUGAGUAAAGUGGCGCACGGGUGAGUAACACGUGACUAACCUACCCUUGAGUGGGGGAUAACUGAGGGAAACCUUAGCUAAUACCGCAUAAUACCCACGGGUCAAAGGAGCAAUUCGCUCGAGGAGGGGGUCGCGGCCGAUUAGUUAGUUGGCGGGGUAAUGGCCCACCAAGACGAUGAUCGGUAUCCGGCCUGAGAGGGCGCACGGACACACUGGAACUGAAACACGGUCCAGACUCCUACGGGAGGCAGCAGUGGGGAAUUUUGCGCAAUGGGGGAAACCCUGACGCAGCAACGCCGCGUGGAGGAUGAAGUCCUUCGGGACGUAAACUCCUUUCGAUCGGGACGAUAAUGACGGUACCGGAAGAAGAAGCCCCGGCUAACUUCGUGCCAGCAGCCGCGGUAAUACGAAGGGGGCGAGCGUUGUUCGGAAUUAUUGGGCGUAAAGGGUGCGUA
rnacentral:rRNA from 1 species